rnacentral:misc_RNA from 1 species
GUAGGUGAACCUGCGGAAGGAUCAUUAUUGAAAUAAACCUGAUGGGUUGUUGCUGGCUCUUCAGGGAGCACGUGCACACCUUGUCAUCUUUAUAUCUCCACCUGUGCACUUUUUGUAGACCUUUUUAGGUCUAUGUUGCUUCAUUUUACCCCAAUGUAUGUCAAUAGAAUGUUGUGCCUAUGUAAUAUAUACAACUUUCAGCAACGGAUCUCUUGGCUCUC